rnacentral:rRNA from 1 species
AUGAAUCGGCGGUCUCGUCGCAGCCUCCUUUGCGUAGUAACACACCACCUCGCAACCGGGAGCGCGGCGCGGCCACUGCCGUAAAACGCCCAACUUCUCCAAGAGUUGACCUCGAAUCAGGUAGGACUACCCGCUGAACUUAAGCAUAUCAAUAAGCGGAGGAAAAGAAACCAACAGGGAUUGCCCCAGUAACGGCGAGUGAAGCGGCAACAGCUCAAAUUUGAAAUCUGGCCCCCCGGGGCCCGAGUUGUAAUUUGCAGAGGAUGCUUUUGGCGAGGCGCCUUCCGAGUUCCCUGGAACGGGACGCCACAGAGGGUGAGAGCCCCGUCUGGUCGGAUGCCGAGCCUCUGUAAAGCUCCUUCGACGAGUCGAGUAGUUUGGGAAUGCUGCUCUAAAUGGGAGGUAUAUGUCUUCUAAAGCUAAAUAUUGGCCAGAGACCGAUAGCGCACAAGUAGAGUGAUCGAAAGAUGAAAAGCACUUUGAAAAGAGGGUUAAAUAGUACGUGAAAUUGUUGAAAGGGAAGCGCUCAUGACCAGACUUGGGCCCGGUGAAUCAUCCAGCGUUCUCGCUGGUGCACUUUGCCGGGCUCAGGCCAGCAUCAGUUUGCCCCGGGGGAUAAAGGCUCUGGGAAUGUGGCUCCUCCGGGAGUGUUAUAGCCCU